rnacentral:rRNA from 1 species
UGCCAGCAGCCGCGGUAAUACGGAGGGGGUCAGCGUUGUUCGGAAUUACUGGGCGUAAAGCGUACGUAGGCGGAUUAAUAAGUUAGAGGUGAAAUCCCAGGGCUCAACCCUGGAACUGCCUUUAAAACUGUUAGUCUUGAGGUCGAGAGAGGUGAGUGGAAUUCCAAGUGUAGAGGUGAAAUUCGUAGAUAUUUGGAGGAACACCAGUGGCGAAGGCGGCUCACUGGCUCGAUACUGACGCUCAGAGGCGAAAGCUAGAGUAGCAAAAGGGAUUAGAUA